AGACGACCUCAGUUCGGGCGAGAUCACCCGCCGAACUUAAGCAUAUUACUAAGCGGAGGAAAAGAAACUAACAAGGAUUCCCUCAGUAGCGGCGAGCGAACAGGGAGGAGCCCAGCGCCGAAUCCCACGGUCCGACAGGGCCGAUCGGGAAAUGUGGCGUUAAGGAGGGUCCGCAAGUCCCGACGUCGCGAUAGCGGCGCGUCCAAGUCCUUCUUGAAAGAGGCCGAACCACCCGCAGAGGGUGCCAGGCCCGUAGGACCGCCGCCCGGCGUCGGGUCGGACCUCUCCCUAGAGUCGGGUUGCUCGGGAUUGCAGCCCUAAGCAGGUGGUAAACUCCAUCUAAGGCUAAAUAUGACCACGAGACCGAUAGCGAACAAGUACCGCGAGGGAAAGUUGAAAAGAACUUUGAAGAGAGAGUUCAAGAGUACGUGAAACCGUUCGGGGGUAAACCUGAGAAACCCGAAAGAUCGAAAGCCGAGAUACAGCGUCCGUCGCCGCGUUCGCGAUGCGGCGACGGCGUGCACUUCUCGGCCGGUAGGACGUCGCGACCCGUUGGGAGUCGCCGACGCUUUAGGGGGGCCUGCGGGAAGCUCGAGGCGGCGCGGCGGGACUCGUUCCCGUCGUCUUUGCGUUGCCCCUCGAACCCGUCGUGCCUUCGUAUCGGCGUUCGGCGCGCCCGACGCGACAUUCACUAACAGACCUGUGCGUUCGUUCGGCGGUGCGCCUUUUCGGCGCGCCCGACCUCGUCUCCGCCGACGCCCCUCCUAACGGAGGCGGCGCGCGUAGGCGGGAGAUCUCGGGCGUGUGAUUACGACACACCGACGUCCGAUCGUCCGCGACGCUUUUGCUUUGGGCGUUUUCAGGACCCGUCUUGAAACACGGACCAAGGAGUCCAACGUGCGCGCGAGUCAAUGGGAGCAAACUAUUAAACCCAAAGGCGAAGCGAAAGCGAAGGACGACCGGGUGGCGGCCGUCCCCCUCACGGGGGACGGUCGUCGUCCCGCGUCGUCCGUCGGGAGGAUGGGCACGCCGGCUAGACCGCGCAGCCCCGCACUCCCGGGGCGUCUCCGUCAGGCACCGUCGCGUUCGCUCGUCGUCGCGUCAGUGCCGGAGGCGCACCUAUAGCGCGCUCGCUGGGACCCGAAAGAUGGUGAACUAUGCCUGGUCAGGACGAAGUCAGGGGAAACCCUGAUGGAGGUCCGCAGCGAUUCUGACGUGCAAAUCGAUCGUCAGAACUGGGUAUAGGGGCGAAAGACCAAUCGAACCGUCUAGUAGCUGGUUCCCUCCGAAGUUUCCCUUAGGAUAGCUGGCGCUCGCUCUCAGAGUCUCAUGCGGUAAAGCGAAUGAUUAGAGCGAAUCGGGGUCGAAACGACCUCAACCUAUUCUCAAACUUUAAAUGUGUGAGAUCUCCGGCUUGCCCGACACACGAAGCCGCGAGAUCGGAUCUAGAGUGCCAAGUGGGCCAUUUUUGGUAAGCAGAACUGGCGCUGUGGGAUGAACCAAACGCGAAGUUAAAGCGCCCAAAUCGACGCUCAUUGGAAACCAGAAAAGGCGUUGGUAACUCAGGACAGCAGGACGGUGACCAUGGAGGUCGGAAUCCGCUAAGGAGUGUGUAACAACUCACCUGCCGAAGUUACCAGCCCUGAAAAUGGAUGGCGCUUAAGCGUCGUGCUUAUACUUCGCCGUUGGCGGCAAGCGCGGUCGCACCGUCCCCUCGGGGACGUUGCGGCCCGAAGAGAGGCCCCGACGAGUAGGGGGGUCGCGACGGUGAGCGCAGAAGGACCGGGCGUGAGCCCGUCUGGAGCCGCCGUCGGCGCAGAUCUUGGUGGUAGUAGCAAAUACUUCAGCGAGCACCUGGAGGACUGACGUGGAGAAGGGUUUCGUGUGAACAGCAGUUGCACACGAGUCAGUCGAUCCUAAGCCGCUAGGCGAAAGCCGACGUCGAUGAGGCGCGUACGCGAGAUCUCGUGUUGUUGUUGUUGUCGGUCGGUCGGUUGUUUGUUGUUAACGCGUCUUUGUUAGCGCCGCCCGCCGCCGUCGCACGUGCCGCCGCACGCCUACGGGCGUGUCCGGUACGGUACGCGGCGGCGCGGCAGCCGUUGGAGAUACGAGACGACGACGACGACGACGGCGACGACGACGUCGACGACGACGACAUGCAAAGUUAUCAUGUCGCGCCUCAAGGGCGAAAGGGAAUGCGGUUCCUAUUCCGCAACCCGGCCACGGAACCGCCACUAUUCGGGCCCUCAUCUGAGAGUUCGUCUGGGUAACCUAAAACGACCCGGAGACGCCGUCGGGAGGUCCGGGAAGAGUUUUCUUUUCUGCAUGAGCGUUCGAGAUCCAUGGAAGCCCAUAGCGGGGAGAUAUGGUUCGGAACGCGAAGAGCACCGCAAUUGCCGCGGUGUCCGGAUCGUCCCCUCGGACCUUGAAAAUCCGGGAGAGGGCUACGAGGAGCGACCGUGCCGGUUCGUACCCAUAUCCGCAGCCGGUCUCCAAGGUG
rnacentral:rRNA from 1 species